UGAAGUUUCGUGUUUCUGAGUCUGUUUCUCCACUUUCCUUCCACCCAUCUUCCUUUCCUUUAAGAUUCUCAAUAUCUUGAAAUCAUAACAAUCCAAAACCAUCUUCCUCUUACUCCCUUCACUUCCACACUCUCCUCUGUUCCUUCUUCCACCAUCUCAAUGGCCUCUCACCCAAACCAAACAGGAACGGGAGCUGACGGGCAAGGAGAAAAGGACCCCCCAUCGCCGAUCCCAGCAUCAGCCUUUCAGAAUCCACUUUCUGAGAUAUCGCCGUCACCGUCGCCGUCG
rnacentral:sRNA from 1 species